rnacentral:rRNA from 1 species
GACGAACGCUGGCGGCGUGCCUAAUACAUGCAAGUCGAGCGAAGCGGGGACGGGUGAGUAACACGUGGAUAACCUCCUAUAAGACUGGGUUAACUUCGGGAAACCGGAGCUAACCCCGAUACUUAUAGAUGGUUCCGCGCUGCAUUAGCUAGUGGGUAGGGUAACGGCUUACCAAGGCAACGAUGCAUAGCCGGCCUGAGAGGGUGAUCGGCCAAACUGGAACUGAGACACGGUCCAGACUCCUACGGGAGGCAGCAGUAGGGAAUCUUCCGCAAUGGGCGAAAGCCUGACGGAGCAACGCCGCGUGUGUGAUGAAGGUCUUCGGAUCGUAAAACUCUGUUGGUAGAGAAGCGGUAUCUAACCAGAAAGCCACGGCUAACUACGUGCCAGCAGCCGCGGUAAUAC